rnacentral:piRNA from 1 species
ACACUCUGGUUUCUCUUCAGAUCGU